AGAUGUUUUCGCUCGCCGAUUACGGAUGCCCUCAAGUUGAAAGUGAAAAUGGGAAAGCGACGCCUACGGCUACCUCAACUCCUAUGUCUGCUAGUGGAGUGUCUUUGAUUCUAAUUCCUAGCCUGACUCAAAGCUAGCUCAUUAUUCGCAAUUAGUCACGACUACUUCAAGAGUAUAAGCUGUUGCUGUUGAGUGAUAAUUGGAAAGUAGAGCGAUGCAGAAUGGCAGUUCUCAAACACCUCGGGGUCGGCAUCGUCGGCGUUCCAAUGAGGUUGUUCAAGAAGCUAGUAAAGCAAAUGAAACCCAUUUGCUUGUUAAUGAUCAAAGUAAGUACCGAUCGAUGUUGGUCCGGGCUUACUCAUAUGUUUGGAUGAUUGGGGGAUUUGUGUCAAUUAUU